CAAUUAAGAUGUGGGGCCAUAGCAGAAGUGUUUAUGUUGUGGUCCCUGUCAGAUUCCAGUGAAUCUGAGAAUUCUGCU
rnacentral:ribozyme from 1 species